UUCGAUCUCUCUCUCUCUCUCUCUUUACGUACUCUGAUUGCUAAGGGUAAUAAGUUUUCCUUCUCUGUUUAUCGCUUAAUUCCAGAGUUUCUUUGAUGUUGUUUCACUCUUUAAUUAUUCGGUUUUUGUUUCUUAUUUAUUAAUAUGUUUUCGCUUUCUAUUCUGUUGCUCCUUAAUUGGCAGCCUGCUGUUUAUUUUCAAAAGGAAAUUGUUUCGGUUUUCAUUUCUCUCAUUUGAUCCAAAAAAUCAGUGGUCACAUCCCAAGGAAAAAAAAAAAAAAAUCAGCAAAUUGAAGUUAAUCUAUUGCAUUAGAGAAGGUAA
rnacentral:misc_RNA from 1 species